GGAUCAUACCUGUCAAAGGCAAAAGAGUUCCUUAGAAUCUACAAGUAUGUCAGAUGCAGUGACUCCAGGGGUUAUUUUCUUCCUCCUCAAAAAGUUGAGAAAGUAGCCUUGAGAAGAAAAGAAGAGACAGGAACCAGUGCACAAAAAGGACCAAACUGUUCCUGGAAUAGCUGAUGGAUUGUGUUUUACUAAAGCCAUGGGAUGAGUUGGCACAGUGGAACAUAAAUCUUAAUAGAAGGCAGUACCAGUAGACGAGGAUUCAUUGCAUUCUGAAAGUCUUCAGGUUCCAAACUGAGAUGAGCAGCUUCCUGUCAAAUAAGCCAAUGCUACUGGACGAAUUGACCUUGACAUGACUGCUGUGAUGCCAAAAGCCACAAGCUAACUGGUAACAAU